GCUUAAAGUGAGAACAAUCCAGAUUCCCCAAGUGAGGUAUGUCCAGCAGAUUCACAAAAAACCUUUGACUUUGCUGAAUAACCUUGAGCGCACCCAGACAAUGUCAGCUUCUAAGGAUCUGGAAGAAGACAGCUUGCAGAAAGCGGGAAGGAGGAAGGGACGCAGAAAGACCUUUUAUUGACUGGAGCUGUCAAGGCAGUAAGCAGUGCUGGCCAAGUCCAAUGUCAUCCGUAUGUUCUGAGGCAGGAUGGCGAAUAACAUGUGCAAGAGCUCUGAAAAGAUGAACAACAAUCUUAGCAUGGACAUCUUUCAGUAUAACAAGUACAGUGGUGCACUCUGGCUUUUGCUAACAAGUCCUCCUACAGUAAAUGACAUAGUAAAGUGUUUGUCUGUGCCAUCUGAAGUCACCUAUUUUUUUUUCUGCAACCUCUAAGUUUCAAGAAAUGAUCUACGUUGGAGAAGAAUAACAUUCAGGGUUAAAAAGAUAAUAGCUUUGACUGUUGGUACAUGCCAAAGUCACAUACUGUGUAUGGCACCCCAUGGGUGUGUAAUGUAAUAUAGUAAUAACACAGGAUCCUAAAAUUCCCAUAAUGCAACCCAACAGAAUACCAAAUAAAGCGUAUUGAUUGAUGCUGCAAUCCAUUGUAUUAAAAAAACUAAAAAUCAUUCAAGUCAGAAUCUCAAAUUGUAAACACAGGCAAGAUCCUUCUAGCCUGUGUUCACGGACACGAACACGCCCAACAUCACAGCAGUAUGGUGGUACGCACAACGCCAUUACCAUUCAGCUGAUUUGUGUUUGAUAGACAUAGUUGCGAAUAUGCGAUAUUAGCCUACUCCUUUCGCCUCUUUUGUGUUAAGUAGAUGCUUUUCAUAGUGUCUUGCCAUACAAACAUCAAUUUGCUGCAGGCAUCAAUGUUUUCCCAAGCAAAUGCACUGGGACGUAUUUUGUUAGGAAAGUUGGGGAUAUCCAUUCAGAACUAUCGACUUCCAUCUUUCAGUGGAUUGCAGCAUGAGACCCUCUCUGCUUCCCAAACGCCAAUAUCUUUUGUACUCCACUUCUUCUGUCUGUAAUGCAAGAUUUCUGGAUAAAAAAGGCUUAGUCCCUACCCACGGGCUUAUUGGUACUCCUCUUGACUGCAUUCAGUUUACCUGAUGACCCUAUAGACUUGCCUGCACUCUUAUACACUUGAACACAAAUUGCUAUUGAGACCACGUUCUUCUUUUUUUUUGGCAAGAGAGGUCAUGUAAAAAUUCAUGAAAUGUUUCUCAUACCAUAAGGGUUACUCACUUGUGGCAUUUGUUACCACAUAUAGUAUACAGCGACGGUGGUCAGUUUUGAAUUGAGCAGGCCAUUGCGUUCAGAUGAAACUGCCUAUCCAGCCUUUGGGGGAAGGAUGUUGUUUACUUUGUCAGAUGUUGUUUUACUGUCUGUCAGUAUCUGUUUAUUGCUGCUUAGGUGAUUGAAAGGCAGUCUAGAUGUACCGUACAUAAGAUCACAACAAGGCAAUGGGGUUACCAGUCAAAGGGAAGAGUCAUUUUAUACAGUCUAAUGCCCACUUGUAGCUGUAUGCACUCAAUAGUGUACUCAUUGAAACCCUGAGUACACGUCUAGUGCAUUGCUGAAAAGUGAGAACUUUAACCACUGGAGGUCAGCAAAAACAAGACUUUCAACUAAUGUUAAGUUCACAGAGAAAGUUCACAAAUCACAGAGAAACCGCUGUGGCAUAAAAUAUAUGGAA